UGGAAAGAAGGGCCCUGCCUCCC
rnacentral:piRNA from 1 species